CCUACGGGGGGCAGCAGUGGGGAAUAUUGCACAAUGGGGGAAACCCUGAUGCAGCAACGCCGCGUGAAGGAAGACGGUUUUCUGAUUGUAAACCUCUGUCUUCGGUGACGAAACGAGACGGUAGCCGAGGAGGAAGCCACGGCUAACUCCGUGCCAGCAGCCGCGGUAAUACGUAGGUGGCAAGCUUUGUCCGGAAUUACUGGGUGUAAAGGGAGCGUAGGCGGGAAAGCAAGUUGAAUGUUUAAGGUACGGGCUCCACCUGUACAAGCGUUCAAAACUGUUUUUCUUGAGUGGAGUAGAGGUAAGCGGAAUUCCUAGUGUAGCGGUGAAAUGCGUAAAUAUUAGGAGGAACACCAGUGGCGAAGGCGGCUUACUGGGCUUUAACUGACGCUGAGGCUCGAAAGCGUGGGUAGCAAACAGGAUUAGAUACCCGUGUAGUC
rnacentral:rRNA from 1 species